rnacentral:rRNA from 1 species
GUUAGCCUACGGGGCGCAGCAGUGAGGAAUAUUGGUCAAUGGGCGGAAGCCUGAACCAGCCAAGUCGCGUGAGGGAAUAAGGCCCUACGGGUCGUAAACCUCUUUUGCCGGGGAGCAAGGGCCGGGACGCGUCCCGGCCCGGAGAGUACCCGGAGAAAAAGCAUCGGCUAACUCCGUGCCAGCAGCCGCGGGAAUACGGAGGAUGCGAGCGUUAUUCGGAUUUAUUGGGUUUAAAGGGUGCGUAGGCGGGGUUUUAAGUCAGCGGUAAAAAUUCGGGGCCCAACC